rnacentral:rRNA from 1 species
UAGGGAAUCUUCGGCAAUGGGGGCAACCCUGACCGAGCAACGCCGCGUGAGUGAAGAAGGUUUUCGGAUCGUAAAGCUCUGUUGUAAGUCAAGAACGGGUGUGAGAGUGGAAAGUUCACACUGUGACGGUAGCUUACCAGAAAGGGACGGCUAACUACGUGCCAGCAGCCGCGGUAAUACGUAGGUCCCGAGCGUUGUCCGGAUUUAUUGGGCGUAAAGCGAGCGCAGGCGGUUUGAUAAGUCUGAAGUUAAAGGCUGUGGCUCAACCAUAGUUCGCUUUGGAAACUGUCAAACUUGAGUGCAGAAGGGGAGAGUGGAAUUCCAUGUGUAGCGGUGAAAUGCGUAGAUAUAUGGAGGAACACCGGUGGCGAAAAGCGGCUCUCUGGUCUGUAACUGACGCUGAGGCUCGAAAGCGUGGGGAGCGAACAG